rnacentral:lncRNA from 1 species
GUCUUGUAUGAUUUUUAAUUUUAGUUUCUUGUAUAUACUUUGGAUAGAUAAAGGAAGAGGUGGUAUCAGUGCAAAUGAGACAACUCUCCAUCUAAGUCACAAUUUAUAAAAGUAAACCAUUAUAGGUCAAGGUACGGUCUUCAACACAUAGCUUAGGCUCACAACGAACAGCAAGCUAUAAAGGGUCCCCAAAAUUACUAGUGUAAAACCUUUCAAACGGGAAAACCAACGGUCUAAUCUAUAUAAAAAACGAGAAACCAGAAACAACUGUAAAGUUUAGUAUGACGUCCAUUAUCACUGAACUAGUCCAUAUUUUUGUUUAUAUGCCAACUGAAGCACGCAUUUGGGUGCUGGAUUUUUUCUUGCUGUAUUGAAGAACCAAAUGUAUCUGAGAAACAAACCUUAUAUGAUUUGCGCGCC